CGCGUGCCUAAUACAUGCAAGUCGAGCGAACAGAUGAGAAGCUUGCUUCUCUGAUGUUAGCGGCGGACGGGUGAGUAACACGUGGGUAACCUACCUAUAAGACUGGGAUAACUCCGGGAAACCGGGGCUAAUACCGGAUAAUAUAUUGAACCGCAUGGUUCAAUGUUGAAAGACGGUUUCGGCUGUCACUUAUAGAUGGACCCGCGCCGUAUUAGCUAGUUGGUAAGGUAACGGCUUACCAAGGCAACGAUACGUAGCCGACCUGAGAGGGUGAUCGGCCACACUGGAACUGAGACACGGUCCAGACUCCUACGGGAGGCAGCAGUAGGGAAUCUUCCGCAAUGGGCGAAAGCCUGACGGAGCAACGCCGCGUGAGUGAUGAAGGUCUUAGGAUCGUAAAACUCUGUUGUUAGGGAAGAACAAAUUUGUUAGUAACUGAACAAGUCUUGACGGUACCUAACCAGAAAGCCACGGCUAACUACGUGCCAGCAGCCGCGGUAAUACGUAGGUGGCAAGCGUUAUCCGGAAUUAUUGGGCGUAAAGCGCGCGUAGGCGGUUUCUUAAGUCUGAUGUGAAAGCCCACGGCUCAACCGUGGAGGGUCAUUGGAAACUGGGGAACUUGAGUGCAGAAGAGGAGAGUGGAAUUCCAUGUGUAGCGGUGAAAUGCGCAGAGAUAUGGAGGAACACCAGUGGCGAAGGCGGCUCUCUGGUCUGUAACUGACGCUGAUGUGCGAAAGCGUGGGGAUCAAACAGGAUUAGAUACCCUGGUAGUCCACGCCGUAAACGAUGAGUGCUAAGUGUUAGGGGGUUUCCGCCCCUUAGUGCUGCAGCUAACGCAUUAAGCACUCCGCCUGGGGAGUACGACCGCAAGGUUGAAACUCAAAGGAAUUGACGGGGACCCGCACAA
rnacentral:rRNA from 2 species